rnacentral:misc_RNA from 1 species
GUAGGUGAACCUGCGGAAGGAUCAUUAUCACGUAUCCACGUAUAAACCAUUGUGAACUGUAACUUAAGCCUUUAGAGUGAAGACCAAGAUAGCGUGUGACUAACGUUAAGCGAUUUUUGUGAUUAAUCGUGUUAGUUAUGCCAUAGUUGUGUGCUUUCGGGCUCCUACUAUACUUGCUUUCUCUGAAGUGUAUUAAUCACUAAUUAUUAACCAUUACAACCCAUCUUUAUAAUUUUUGAACUAAUCAAUU